rnacentral:rRNA from 1 species
AUUGAACGCUGGCGGCAUGCCUAACACAUGCAAGUCGAACGGGUUGUAGCAAUACAACUAGUGGCGGACGGGUGAGGAAUACAUAGGAAUUUGCCUUUAGGUGGGGGAUAGCCCGGGGAAACUCGGAGUAAUACCGCAUGAUGUCGCAAGACCAAAGCCGGGGAUCGCAAGACCUGGCGCCUUUAGAGAAGCCUAUGUCGGAUUAGCUAGUUGGUAGGGUAAUGGCCUACCAAGGCGACGAUCCGUAACUGGUCUGAGAGGACGAUCAGUCACACCGGAACUGAGACACGGUCCGGACUCCUACGGGAGGCAGCAGUGGGGAAUAUUGGACAAUGGGCGAAAGCCUGAUCCAGCAAUGCCGCGUGUGUGAAGAAGGCC